UACGUAGGUGGCAAGCGUUGUCCGGAUUUACUGGGCGUAAAGAGCGCGCAGGCGGUCGAUUUAGUCGCGUGUGAAAGCCCCCGGCUCAACUGGGGAGGGUCACGCGAUACUGAUCGACUCGAAGGCAGGAGAAGGUAGUGGAAUUCCCGGUGUAGUGGUGAAAUGCGUAGAUAUCGGGAGGAACACCAGUGGCGAAGGCGACUACCUGGCCUGUUCUUGACGCUGAGGCGCGAAAGCUAGGGGAGCAAACAGG
rnacentral:rRNA from 1 species